rnacentral:rRNA from 1 species
UGGGGAAUAUUGGACAAUGGGCGAAAGCCUGAUCCAGCCAUGCCGCGUGUGUGAAGAAGGUCUUCGGAUUGUAAAGCACUUUAAGUUGGGAGGAAGGGCAUUAACCUAAUACGUUAGUGUUUUGACGUUACCCACAGAAUAAGCACCGGCUAACUCUGUGCCAGCAGCCGCGGUAAUACAGAGGGUGCAAGCGUUAAUCGGAAUUACUGGGCGUAAAGCGCGCGUAGGUGGUUUGUUAAGUUGGAUGUGAAAUCCCCGGGCUCAACCUGGGAACUGCAUUCAAAACUGACUGACUAGAGUAUGGUAGAGGGUGGUGGAAUUUCCUGUGUAGCGGUGAAAUGCGUAGAUAUAGGAAGGAACACCAGUGGCGAAGGCGACCACCUGGACUAAUACUGACACUGAGGUGCGAAAGCGUGGGGAGCAAACA